rnacentral:rRNA from 1 species
GACAAACGCUGGCGGCGUGCAUAAAACAUGCAAGUCGGACGAGCCAAUCCCCGCAAGGGGGAAAGGCUAGUGGCGAACGGCUGAGUAACACGUAGGUGAUCUGCCCUGAAGUGGGGGAUAACGACUCGAAAGAGUCGCUAAUACCGCAUGUGACCACCGAUCCGUUUUCGGUGCUCAAAGUCGUAAGACGCUUUAGGAGGAGUCUGCGGCGGAUUAGCUAGUUGGUGAGGUAAUGGCCCACCAAGGCUUCGAUCCGUAGCUGGUCUGAGAGGAUGGCCAGCCAGACUGGGACUGAGACACGGCCCAGACUCCUACGGGAGGCAGCAGUGGGGAAUAUUGGACAAUGGGGGAGACCCUGAUCCAGCGAUGCCGCGUGAGUGAUGAAGGCCUUAGGGUUGUAAAGCUCUUUCGCCCACGACGAUGAUGACGGUAGUGGGAGAAGAA